CGCAGACGGUUCAUCUCACAAGACCGGGGUCAACCACGGCUACAUGCAUGAACGACGGCGCUUCACAACACCGUCUGAACUGACCAGUCUGGUGAAAUUCUGGACUGGAUGGGAGAUUCUACCAAGAACUCUCUCCUCAGAAGUAGUGAAUGGCAGAUACCUGACAGCCUCCACCUGCUAUGAGACCUUACAUUUCCAGGACAUUACAAGGACUACACAUCAUUUAAGACUGACAUCCUGGCCUGUAUUUGCACUUGCCAGUCAAGAUAUGUUAGGUGUUGUUCUCUAGUUAGUUUUACUUGACUGACAAAACUAAGUGCACUUUUGGAUUCCCUCCCCUACCUGUUCUCCCAACUCACCUGACAGGUUAUCUGGCUCAAGUAUGCGUGUUUCUGCCAUAUAUUUAAAGUAUCUGAAGUUAAGAAUAUUUCUGGUGAACAAUACAUGCAAUCACGGCAUUAAAGCAGGAGUUAAAAAUGAA